rnacentral:rRNA from 1 species
UGAUGACGAGACGCUAAGGCGUUGAAGCAGUGUAUGUCAGACUUCCAAGAAAAGCUCGCAAUGUCACAAAUAAAGAAUGCCUGUACCAUAACCGACACAGGUGGGUAGGUAGAGUAUACUAAGGGGCGCGAGAUAACUCUCUCUAAGGAACUCGGCAAAAUGACUCCGUAACUUCGGGAGAAGGAGUGCCUUAUUUAUAAGGUUGCAAUAACAAGAUCCAAGCAACUGUUUAUCAAAAACACAGGUCUCCGCUAAGUCGUAAGACGAUGUAUGGGGGCUGACGCCUGCCCAGUGCCAGAAGGUUAAAGAAGUUGGUUAGUGUAUGCGAAGCUGAUGACUGAAGCCCUGGUGAACGGCGGCCGUAACGAUAACGGUCCUAAGGUAGCGAAAUUCCUUGUCGGGUAAGUUCCGACCCGCACGAAAGGCGUAAUGAUUUGGAUACUGUCUCGGAGAGAGGCUCGGUGAAAUAGACUUGUCUGUGAAGAUGCGGACUACCUGCACCAGGACAGAAAGACCCUAUGAAGCUUUACUGUAACUUGAAAUUGGAAUUGGACUUUGCUUGCGCAGUAUAGGUGGGAAGCGUUGAAAAUAUUCUUGCGGGAGUAUUGGAGCUAUCAGUGAGAUACCACUCUUGUAAUGUUAGAUUUCUAACUUUGAACCAUAAUCUGGUCAAAGAACAGUUUCAGGUGGGCAGUUUGACUGGGGCGGUCGCCUCCCAAAUGGUAACGGAGGCGUACAAAGGUUUCCUCUGAACGGAUAGAAAUCGUAUCUAGAGUGUAAAGGCAUAAGGAAGCUUGACUGUGAGACCUACAAGUCGAGCAGGGACGAAAGUCGGUCUUAGUGAUCUGACGGUACUGAGUGGAAAGGCCGUCACUCAACGGAUAAAAGUUACUCUAAGGAUAACAGGCUGAUCUCCCCCAAGAGUUCACAUCGACGGGGAGGUUUGGCACCUCGAUGUCGGCUCAUCGCAUCCUGGGGCGGUAGUACGUCCCAAGGGUUGGGCUGUUCGCCCAUGAAAGCGGUACGCGAGCUGGGUUCAGAACGUCGUGAGACAGUUCGGUCCAUAUCCGGUGUAGGCGCUAGAAUAUUGAGAGGAGCCUUCUUUAGUACGAGAGGACCGAGAAGGACACACCGGUGGUGUACCAGUUAUCGUGCCAACGGUAAACGCUGGGUAGCUAUGUGUGGAGUGGAUAACCGCUGAAAGCAUCUAAGUGAGAAGCCCACCUCGAGAUGAGUA